rnacentral:rRNA from 1 species
AUCCUGGCUCAGGAUGAACGCUAGCUACAGGCUUAACACAUGCAAGUCGAGGGGAAACGAUAUUGGAAGCUUGCUUCCGAUAGGCGUCGACCGGCGCACGGGUGAGUAACGCGUAUCCAACCUGCCCAUCACUUGGGGAUAACCUUGCGAAAGUAAGACUAAUACCCAAUGACGUCUCUAGAAGACAUCUGAAAGAGAUUAAAGAUUUAUCGGUGAUGGAUGGGGAUGCGUCUGAUUAGCUUGUUGGCGGGGUAACGGCCCACCAAGGCGACGAUCAGUAGCCGGUCUGAGAGGAAGGUCCCCCACAUUGGAACUGAGACACGGUCCAAACUCCUACGGGAGGCAGCAGUGAGGAAUAUUGGUCAAUGGGCGAGAGCCUGAACCAGCCAAGUAGCGUGCAGGAUGACGGCCCUAUGGGUUGUAAACUGCUUUUAUAAGGGAAUAAAGUGGGAGUCGUGACUCUUUUUGCAUGUACCUUAUGAAUAAGGACCGGCUAAUUCCGUG